UUAAUGAGUAGUCAAGAAUUGUUUUGAUGAACUUCAACUACCCCGAUUUAAUUUAACUAUGAUUAAUUGCCUGUAGAAGAAACAAUAAAGUUUCGAAAUAUUGCAAGUAA